CCUACGGGCGGCAGCAGCAAGGAAUUUUGGGCAAUGGGCGAAAGCCUGACCCAGCAACGCCGCGUGGGGGAAGAAGGCCUUCGGGUUGUAAACCCCUUUUGUUGGGGAAGAUAAUGACGGUACCCAACGAAUAAGCCUCGGCUAACUACGUGCCAGCAGCCGCGGUAAUACGUAGGAGGCAAGCGUUGUCCGGAAUUACUGGGCGUAAAGCGCGCGCAGGCGGCCUGGGGAGUCCUCUGUGAAAUCUCCCGGCGCAACCGAGAGGAGUCAGGGGAUACUCCCAGGCACGAGGGCAGUAGAGGAAGGUGGAAUUCCCGGUGUAGGGGUGAAAUGCAUAGAUAUCGGGAGGAACACCAGUGGCGAGGGCGGCCUUCUGGGCUGUGCCUGACGCUGAGGCGCGAAGGCGGGGGGAGCAAACCGGAUUAGAUACCCGUGUAGU
rnacentral:rRNA from 1 species